rnacentral:rRNA from 1 species
CCAGACUCCUACGGGAGGCAGCAGUGGGGAAUAUUGCACAAUGGGGGGAACCCUGAUGCAGCGACGCCGCGUGGGUGAAGGAGCACCUCGGUGCGUAAAGCCCUAUCGGCAGGGAAGAAACAGACGGUACCUGACUAAGAAGCCCCGGCUAACUACGUGCCAGCAGCCGCGGUAAUACGUAGGGGGCAAGCGUUAUCCGGAUUUACUGGGUGUAAAGGGAGCGUAGACGGUUAUGUAAGUCUGGAGUGAAAGCCCGGGGCCCAACCCCGGGACUGCUUUGGAAACUGUGUAACUGGAGUACAGGAGGGGCAGGCGGAAUUCCUGGUGUAGCGGUGAAAUGCGUAGAUAUCGAGAGGAACACUCGUGGCGAAGGCGGGUUCCUGGACAUUAACUGACGCUGAGGCACGAAGGCCAGGGGAGCGAAAGGGAUUAGAUACCCGAGUA